rnacentral:lncRNA from 1 species
CACACCUUUAGCACUAAUGGAAAACUAAAAUUCUCAGCACAAGUGUGCACCUCAGCUUUCUUGUGGUCACACCCAUGGAAGAAGUACCUUCCACCAUUGACUCCUCAUCCUUGGAAGAAGUACCUUCCACCAUUGACUCCUCACCCGUGGAAGAAGUACUUUCCACACCCCUGGAAGAAGUCACCAGUUUAUAUGCCUCCAGUGUAUUCAUCCCCACCAACUCCAGUUUAUACCAAGCCACCAACCCCGGUUUAUACCAAG